AUUGAACGCUGGCGGCAUGCCUUACACAUGCAAGUCGAACGGCAGCACGGGUGCUUGCACCUGGUGGCGAGUGGCGAACGGGUGAGUAAUACAUCGGAACAUGUCCUGUAGUGGGGGAUAGCCCGGCGAAAGCCGGAUUAAUACCGCAUACGAUCUACGGCUGAAAGCGGGGGACCUUCGGGCCUCGCGCUAUAGGGUUGGCCGAUGGCUGAUUAGCUAGUUGGUGGGGUAAAGGCCUACCAAGGCGACGAUCAGUAGCUGGUCUGAGAGGAAGACCAGCCACACUGGGACUGAGACACGGCCCAGACUCCUACGGGAGGCAGCAGUGGGGAAUUUUGGACAAUGGGCGAAAGCCUGAUCCAGCAAUGCCGCGUGUGUGAAGAAGGCCUUCGGGUUGUAAAGCACUUUUGUCCGGAAAGAAAUCCUUGGCCCUAAUACGGUCGGGGGAUGACGGUACCGGAAGAAUAAGCACCGGCUAACUACGUG
rnacentral:rRNA from 1 species